rnacentral:rRNA from 1 species
GACGAACGCUGGCGGCGUGCUUAACACAUGCAAGUCGAACGGAAAGGCCCUGCUUUUGUGGGGUGCUCGAGUGGCGAACGGGUGAGUAACACGUGAGUAACCUGCCCUUGACUUUGGGAUUACUUCAGGAAACUGGGGCUAAUCCCGGAUAGGAGCUCCUGCUGCAUGGUGGGGGUUGGAAAGUUUCGGCGGUUGGGGAUGGACUCGCGGCUUAUCAGCUUGUUGGUGGGGUAGUGGCUUACCAAGGCUUUGACGGGUAGCCGGCCUGGGAGGGUGACCGGCCACAUUGGGACUGAGAUACGGCCCAGACUCCUACGGGAGGCAGCAGUGGGGAAUAUUGCACAAUGGGCGGAAGCCUGAUGCAGCAACGCCGCGUGCGGGAUGACGGCCUUCGGGUUGUAAACCGCUUUCGCCUGUGACGAAGCGUGAGUGACGGUAAUGGGUGAAGAAGCACCGGCUAACUACGUGCCAGCCGCCGCCGUAA